rnacentral:rRNA from 1 species
UACGAAGGGGGCUAGCGUUGCUCGGAAUCACUGGGCGUAAAGGGCGCGUAGGCGGCGGGGUAAGUCUGGUGUGAAAUCUCGGAGCUCAACUCCGAAAUUGCACUGGAUACUGCUCUGCUAGAGGGCUGGAGAGGAGAUCGGAAUUCACGGUGUAGCAGUGAAAUGCGUAGAUAUCGUGAGGAAGACCAGUGGCGAAGGCGGAUCUCUGGACAGCUCCUGACGCUGAGGCGCGAAGGCUAGGGGAGCAAACGGG